CGCUAUUUCAUUGUCCAACACAUUGGAAUAAAAUAUGUACGAAUAUAGAGUAUAGGUCUUCUAUUCAUCUAUUUCUCUAGCCAUAGCUGUAUGCAAAUGCACCGAUUUUUCAUGGAAUGGACCAAUUUGUUUGUCGUAUACGUUCGGUAUAUUCUGCCAUUCCUCCAUCAUUGCUGUUUUUAAUGCUGCUGCAUUCUUUUGAUGUCUUUUAUGGACUGUUUUCUUCAAAAAGGCAAUUCUGCGAUUCUAGAGAUGCCACAUCUGUACAUUAUAGCCGUUAUGCUUUGGAUCGUUAUCUUGACAGCAAGGGUUUCUUGCGUGCUGAUUUCGAUGAAUAUUUAUGGUGCAGUAUGGCUUGACGCACUGCUUCAUGAAAUACAACAAUACCACACACUCCUCGUUAAGCUCCUUUACAAAUCUUCUCAAGGAAAUU